UCGAGAGAAGGGGAUCGGGAACGGGGAGGCAGAGCGCGUGCGCUCCCGUCCCGUCGCCGCGCCGCCUCCUCACCGGGCGCCGCCACCAGCCUCCAGAUCGCCCAGCCACCCACCGCCGCCGGCCAGCCUACUUGGCUCGCCGUCGGCAGGCCUCCUUGCCCCGCCGCCGGCCGGCCUCCGGUCCCUCGGGGACCUAGGGUUUUGAAGAUAGAGAUGGGACAGGGGGUCACGGUUCAAGAGAUCAUGGCGCAAGCGGCAAGCUCCUCGAUUCCAUCUGAGCUCCCUUCUAGCGUGUGCGUUUAGUUCGGUCAUUUUACAGCUAAACUUGAUGAUGGUACUUGUGUUGAAGUGGCGCGUAAAUGGCUUGAAUGGGUUGUGGACUAUCAUCAGUGCACAUUGGAGAGUUUGGAAAAGGAUCUUGCAGUAAGGGUAAAAUGGGGCAGCAACCAACAUGCUGUGAUAAGUGGCUACGACAUGGGCACUGGUGAGGAAACACCGUUUAAGGAUAAUAUGGAUGUAGCCCAUGCAUUGUUUGUUAGGAAGAGUGAUAGAAAGUUGAUUUUGUUUGUUGAUGUGGAGGACAAGCCUAUUCAGUUGAUGACUAACUCGGUAGUUUCAGAGGUCAAUGAGGUAGCAAUGGGUGAAGUUGUGACAGACAGGCAAGGUGAUGUUCAAGAAUGCAGCAGUUGUAUUGAUUGGGAUAGUCUAGAGAUAGCUCCAAUUCCACAUAACCAAGUUCCUCAACUUGCUAUUGAUUGGGAUGCAUUGGAGAUAGAACCAAUUCCACAACAUCAACUUGGUUCUUCUAUGCCUUCGAUGGAGGAAGAUGAAAUGCAUACAUUUGUUGGACUUAGAGCUGAGGAUGGGAGAGCCGAGCAAGCUAGACUUGAGGCUAAGAGGCAAAGGAAUUCAGUGCCUACACCAGGUUCAGCUCAUACUGAAGGGGAUUUGAACCUUAACGAGGCAGAGAUUGUAAUAUGCUGUUAAUGAUGUAAUACCUGGUGAAUCUGAAAUUUUCUAUGACAGAGAUGAUCCUCCGAUGGAAGUUGGAAGCUCAUAUGUAAGCAUGAAUGAAUUUAGGUCAGCUGUGAGGCAACACGCUAUAAAGGGACAAUUUCAGGUUGGGACAGAGAAGUCUGAUAAAGAAAGGUUUAGGGGCUUUUGCACAGCUGAUGAAUGCCCAUGGGCUAUCGUGGCCAGGCUGAUGCAUAAUGAAAAAUCCGUGAGGGUCCUAACAACUAACUAAACAAUGUGUCAUAUUUCAAAUAUUGGUUUGUCUGUAUGAGUUGUCUCAUGGUUAUUCCCUUUUUGUUUUGUAUGAGUUGCCGGCCAUACUUGAGUAUAGACUCCACAGCCCUUAAUGGGAGUUGGAAUGGUCAGCUAGGUUCUGCUACAUCCAUAGAUGGACACAACUGGAUGUUUCCGGUUGCAUUUGGUUUUUUUCAAAGUGAGACCACUGGCAAUUGGACUUGGUUUAUGCAACAACUUCAUAAGGCCAUUGGAAAACAGCCACACUUAGCAAUCAGCUCGGAUGCUUGUAAGGGACUGGAGAAUGUUGUGAAAAGUGUAUUUAGUACAGCAGAGCAUAGAGAAUGCUUUUGGCACUUGAUGCAGAAUUUCAUCAAGAAAUUUCAUGGUUCAGUGUUUGGGAACAUGUACCCUGCAGCUAGGUCUUACAUGACAGAUAGAUAUGAGUAUUACAUGAAUAAAAUUCAUGAGGCAAAAUCAGAUGUGAAGCCAUAUCUAGAAACUUAUCACGGCCUACUUUGGAUGAGGAGUAAGUUCUUAGAAAAGAUAAAAUGUGACUUCAUCACCAACAAUCUAGCAGAGUCAUGGAACAAAUAGAUCAAGGAUAUGAAGGAUCAUCCUAUUGCAGAUCUCGCAGAUGGCAUCAGAGCAAAGACAAUGGAUCUAUUUGCGAGACGGAGGAAGAUAGGUGAGAAACUAGAUGGUGUUAUGCUCCCUAUUGUAGUUCGUCAACUGAAUGCAAUGACUAGAGAUUUGGGUCACUUGAAGGUAGUGCAAGGUAAUAAGGACCUAGCAGAAGUGACUGAGAUUACUCCUGAACAUGAUAUUAGUAGGCAUGCUGUCAAUCUUACAGAACAUACAUGCACUUGUAGAGAGUGGCAAGUUUCUGGCAAACCAUGCCCACAUGCAUUAGCUCUCAUAAUAUCAGCUAGAAACCCAAGAAUGGCUGAUUACCUGGAUCCUUGCUAUUCAGUGGAAAAGUAUAAGCUGGCAUAUGCAGGUGUUAUUCAUCCACUUCCAGAUAAGUCCCAAUGGCCAAAAGUCAAUAUUGGUUUCAAGUUGUUGCCACCUCUCACUAAGAGGGAUGUAGGGAGGCAAAGAAAGAAUAGGAUAGUUGGGUGCCUUGAGAAAGGAAGCAAGCCUAGGACCAAAGGAAAGUGGCAGGUUCAAUGUAAGAAGUGUCUUAACAUGGGCCAUAGACAAACAUCCUCAAAAUGUCCAUUAAAUGGUACCAAGAAAAAAAAGGAAAAGUCGUGCUAAACAAGGAAGACCACUAGGUUCAACUAGUGAUGCAGCGGGUUCUAGCACACCUAAAAGACAAAAAGUUGCAAUCAAUGAUUCCAGCAAUGCGAGUCCUGGGCCUGUCACUAGAAGCCAAUUGGCAUUGACUAAUGUUGUUGGAGAAGGAUCGAGUCAAAUGGCAACCCCUCCGAGGCCUACUAGAGCUGCAAGGAAGAUCACUCCAAAGAAAGGGAAAAAAUGAAUGCUUUUCUAAAUAUAAUAUUUAGUGUUGUGGAUGCUUUUGUAAUGUGAAACAUGGGACACAACUGGUUGGUUUCAUUUUGUUCUCUGAACUUGUCAAAUGGUUAUGUAAUCUGGAUGAUGUUCUUAAGUUUGUUAUUGAA